GCCCGGAUGGUCUAGUGGUAUGAUUCGCCCUUAGGGAAGUAACACGUAAUCAAAUCAAUGCUUACGUAAUGCUUACGUAUGGGCGAGGUCCCCAGUUCAAUCCUGGUUUCGGGCC